AUAUUUCUUUAAUUAAAAUAAUAUGCGCAUUUUACGCUCACAAUACUUGAAAUUGAAGGCCGGACACAGCCUUGAUGACACAACUGCGACUAAAACUUCAACGCUGACUGCACUUCACGAUGAAACGCAAAUUCGACAUAAGAGAAUGACAUCAAAGGCUAUACAAGAUGUAAAAUCUAUACAAACCGUUACUCAAGCUACACGUACUAGAUUGCGACACAAUUCUGUAAUUACAAGUAAUGCCGAAAUAUUACAACAUGCUUUAUUGUCCGCUAAAAACAAUCUCAACAAGAUUUGUCCUGACACUGCGGUCAAGCAAUCGCCUAUACAACAGCGUCGUCAAACACUAGCUUGUGUUGAUGACGAUCUGUUGAAACAACAGAUUUUGGAUGCAUUAAAAAUUAAAUUGAUUAACACACCGACCGAUCAAUAUACGCGCAUCAAUGUGGUCGUAAGAUUCUAUGACGAAGGCACGAUGUGGUAUACACGUUUCUAUCGUAGUUAUCAGGAUGUGUUGUGGUUAAAAAUACCUCGCGGCGGUAAAACCACCAAAACAAAGUGGCAUUUUAAAUGUGAGGUCUAGAAACUUUGAGUACCAUCUUUUUCCCAUAUUCUUGAUAAAAUAAGCAAAACAAAACUUCUGUAAAGAUGUCGAAGUGUAUUGUACAAUACGAAAAUCUAGUAAAAUAUUUAAAUAUUUUAUAUACACGCAUACUUCAAAAUUAUUAAAAAGUAAUUAACGAAUA
rnacentral:misc_RNA from 1 species